AUACCAGACUCCUACGGGAGGCAGCAGUGGGGAAUAUUGGUCAAUGGGCGCCCUCCUGACCCAGCCCCGCCGCGUGAAGGAAGACGGCUUUCGGGUUUUCAACUUCUUUUCUUUGGGACGAAGCCCGUGACGGUACCUCCUUAAUAAGCCCCUUCUAACUACGUUCCCUCAGCCGCGUUCCUCCGUAGGUGUCCCGCGUUAUCCGGAUUUCUUGGGUGUAAAGGGCGUGUAGGCGGGAAUGCAAGUCAGAGUGGAAAACUAGGGGAGCAACCCAUAGCCUGCAUUUGAAACUGUAUUUCUUGAGUGCUGGAGAGGCAAUCGGAAUGCCGUGUGUAGCGGUGAAAUGCGUAGAGAGGAGGAGGAACACCAGUGGCGAAGGCGGCCUGCUGGGCUUUUACUGACGCUGAGGCUCGAAAGUGUGGGGAGCAAACAGGAUUAGAUACCCUAGUA
rnacentral:rRNA from 1 species